UUCUUUUGGAACAUGUGAGAAGGAAAAUGGAUUUCGAAAAUAGUUUUUCACGAAUGGGUCCUCCUAAUUUUGAUGGUGAGAAUUAUAAUCUAUGGGAUGUGAGGAUGGAAACGUACUUUGAUGAUCUUUAUCUUUGAGAAGCCAUGGAAGAGAAUAAUUAAUUAGUUUUCUCCCAUAUAAUAAAUUGUGGCCAAAAUAAGGAGGCUUAUGAGGAAAGAUGACAUGGUUGAAGGAGAAUUAAUAGCCAACCACAAAUCUCAAACGAAUGGUAAAUUCUUGAAGAGACCAGAUACCCAAUGCAAAAUGUGCAAACAACUUGGUCAUGAAGUUGUUAUUUGCAAAAGCAAAUUUCAAAAGGAUGAAACAGUUGUCUAAGUCACAAUUAACAAAGAAGAAGAAUACCACUUUUUUCUUGCAAGUUAUUUUUUCAACCAAAAAAUCUGAUUUUUUUGAUGAUUGAUAGUGAUUAUACAAAACACAUGACAUAUGAAAGAAACCUUUAUAAAUAGUUCAUAAAUAUGAUAAAAUAAGAAAGAGCCGGGAAUGGUGAUUGUAUUCCUUCAAAAGGAAAAAGGUCUAUUGCAAUUAAAAGAAAUACAAUUACAAAAAUAAUUUCAGAUGUUUUUUAUGUGCUUAAUAUUUAUAGAAGUUUAUUUAGUGUUGGUUAGUGUUUAAAAAAAGGAUUUAAAUUAUUAUUUGGAGACGAAAAUCGUUUAAUGUUUGAUUCUUACAAGCAAUAGAUUUUACAAGUUUAAAUGAGAGGUAAGAGUUUGUCAUUUAAUUCAAUAGAAAAAGCACACAAGCCUAGCAAGACAAAAGAUGGAUUAGCAGAUCUGUUCACAAGGAUAAUUUUAGGAUUCUAUCUCUGAAUUAGUUAAAUUCAUACAUCAAUUGGUAUUAGAUCCAUCAAUCCUUGGAGUGGCUAUGGCGACACAAAGAACAACCCAAGAAAGAGAAGCACAAGUAAUAGACAAUAGAUUUAUGCGGAUUCAAGAACAAUUGAAGAAAUAAAUGAAGGGUAUGUCUAAUAUCCAUGAUCACAAUGGUCAAGCGGAAAAUGAAUUGGAUGUACACACAACUAUAUGGCUGGAAGAAGUACAGCUGGUUGGUGCACAGUCCCCAAAUGUGGAAGAAAUGGCAGAAACCUCGGCCAAUAGCAUGGAAUCAAAGGUUGAGACUAUCAUUCGUAAUCAUUAUGACCAAUAGUCAUAAGCUUAGUUUUAGCCACUUGCAAAUUCUGAAGAACUCAUGAAAAAGCUAACACUCAAGUGAAGAAUCAUCCUCAAGAACAAUAGGGACAUGAUAUAUAUGCAAGCCUAGUUAUCUUAGGUUAUUUCUUCUACACGUACAUUAUAAAUUUGUUCCUAAUCUACAAAGGAUCCAGAUGUUUUUUUGGUCGAAAAUUCUAAAUCGGUUAAGGAUAUCUGAUUUAUUCUGCAACAUCCUGUAUUUCUUAGUCAGUCUUAGUCAUCCAGAGUGUGGUGAUUCACUGCGCAAACAAAGUGUUUCUUAGUUGAAGUCUAUGUUUUCUAGUGGCGAUAGCUUAGUGGCAGUGUGACAUUUGCUUAGCCUCUUCAAGUCACUGAGUUAUUACUUGGUUAUGAGAUUCAUAACUUCUUCUCAUGUUGGCUGGAAUUGUGGUUCACUUUUGGUUGAAGAGGAUUUGUGAAACAGUUGAAAAUCAUGUUUGACAUGUCAUGGUUUUACUCCCUUAAUCAAGGAGAUUUCCACGAACAGGACUUGUGUUGUAUUCUUCUCAUCAUUUACCCUUCGUUAUUUUCUUGCUGAGUCAAGUACCUGGUCAGUUGACUGAAAAGUAUGUAAUGGGACAUAAUUUGUAUGGCCACGAUAUAACUUCACUUGGUUGAGGUGUUCGAAGAAGAUUCAAUAGAUCUCAAUAAAGAAGUAUAGUUACAAGAGAGUCUAGUGUACCAGAUAAA